GCGCAAAGUGGGCCGGGGUGCCCUAUACAUGCAAGUCGAACGAACUCUGGUAUUGAUUGGUGCUUGCAUCAUGAUUUACAUUUGAGUGAGUGGCGAACUGGUGAGUAACACGUGGGAAACCUGCCCAGAAGCGGGGGAUAACACCUGGAAACAGAUGCUAAUACCGCAUAACAACUUGGACCGCAUGGUCCGAGUUUGAAAGAUGGCUUCGGCUAUCACUUUUGGAUGGUCCCGCGGCGUAUUAGCUAGAUGGUGAGGUAACGGCUCACCAUGGCAAUGAUACGUAGCCGACCUGAGAGGGUAAUCGGCCACAUUGGGACUGAGACACGGCCCAAACUCCUACGGGAGGCAGCAGUAGGGAAUCUUCCACAAUGGACGAAAGUCUGAUGGAGCAACGCCGCGUGAGUGAAGAAGGGUUUCGGCUCGUAAAACUCUGUUGUUAAAGAAGAACAUAUCUGAGAGUAACUGUUCAGGUAUUGACGGUAUUUAACCAGAAAGCCACGGCUAACUACGUGCCAGCAGCCGCGGUAAUACGUAGGUGGCGAGCGUUGUCCGGAUUUAUUGGGCGUAAAGCGAGCGCAGGCGGUUUUUUAAGUCUGAUGUGAAAGCCUUCGGCUCAACCGAAGAAGUGCAUCGGAAACUGGGAAACUUGAGUGCAGAAGAGGACAGUGGAACUCCAUGUGUAGCGGUGAAAUGCGUAGAUAUAUGGAAGAACACCAGUGGCGAAGGCGGCUGUCUGGUCUGUAACUGACGCUGAGGCUCGAAAGUAUGGGUAGCAAACAGGAUUAGAUACCCUGGUAGUCCAUACCGUAAACGAUGAAUGCUAAGUGUUGGAGGGUUUCCGCCCUUCAGUGCUGCAGCUAACGCAUUAAGCAUUCCGCCUGGGGAGUACGGCCGCAAGGCUGAAACUCAAAGGAAUUGACGGGGGCCCGCACAAGCGGUGGAGCAUGUGGUUUAAUUCGAAGCUACGCGAAGAACCUUACCAGGUCUUGACAUACUAUGCAAAUCUAAGAGAUUAGACGUUCCCUUCGGGGACAUGGAUACAGGUGGUGCAUGGUUGUCGUCAGCUCGUGUCGUGAGAUGUUGGGUUAAGUCCCGCAACGAGCGCAACCCUUAUUAUCAGUUGCCAGCAUUAAGUUGGGCACUCUGGUGAGACUGCCGGUGACAAACCGGAGGAAGGUGGGGAUGACGUCAAAUCAUCAUGCCCCUUAUGACCUGGGCUACACACGUGCUACAAUGGAUGGUACAACGAGUUGCGAACUCGCGAGAGUAAGCUAAUCUCUUAAAGCCAUUCUCAGUUCGGAUUGUAGGCUGCAACUCGCCUACAUGAAGUCGGAAUCGCUAGUAAUCGCGGAUCAGCAUGCCGCGGUGAAUACGUUCCCGGGCCUUGUACACACCGCCCGUCACACCAUGAGAGUUUGUAACACCCAAAGUCGGUGGGGUAACCUUUUAGGAACCAGCCGCCUAAGGGUGGACAGGAGUUGG
rnacentral:rRNA from 1 species